GAAAACGAGAUGCUACGGCGUCGAAGCAGUCUAUGUCAUACUUCCAAGAAAAGCUUGCACUGUCAUAAACAAAUAAUGCCUGUACCAUAACCGACACAGGUGGGUAGGUAGAGUAUACUAAGGGGCGCGAGAUAACUCUCUCUAAGGAACUCGGCAAAAUGACUCCGUAACUUCGGGAGAAGGAGUGCCUUAUUUAUAAGGUUGCAAUAACAAGAUCCAAGCAACUGUUUACCAAAAACACAGGUCUCCGCUAAGUCGUAAGACGAUGUAUGGGGGCUGACGCCUGCCCAGUGCCAGAAGGUUAAAGAAGUUGGUUAGCAUCCGCGAAGCUGAUAACUGAAGCCCUGGUGAACGGCGGCCGUAACAAUAACGGUCCUAAGGUAGCGAAAUUCCUUGUCGGGUAAGUUCCGACCCGCACGAAAGGCGUAAUGAUUUGGAUACUGUCUCGGAGAGGGGCUCGGUGAAAUAGACUUGUCUGUGAAGAUGCGGACUACCUGCACCAGGACAGAAAGACCCUAUGAAGCUUUACUGUAACCUGAAAUUGAAAUUGGACUUUACUUGCGCAGUAUAGGUGGGAGGCGUUGAGAAUAUUCUUGCGGGAUUAUUGGAGCCAUCAGUGAGAUACCACUCUUGUAAUGUUAGAUUUCUAACUUUGUAUCAUUAUCUGGUCAAAGAACAGUUUCAGGCGGGCAGUUUGACUGGGGCGGUCGCCUCCUAAACGGUAACGGAGGCGCACAAAGGUUUCCUCUGAACGGGUAGAAAUCGUAUCUAGAGUGUAAAGGCAUAAGGAAGCUUGACUGUGAGACCUACAAGUCGAGCAGGGACGAAAGUCGGUCUUAGUGAUCUGACGGUGCUGAGUGGAAAGGCCGUCACUCAACGGAUAAAAGUUACUCUAAGGAUAACAGGCUGAUCUCCCCCAAGAGUUCACAUCGACGGGGAGGUUUGGCACCUCGAUGUCGGCUCAUCGCAUCCUGGGGCGGUAGUACGUCCCAAGGGUUGGGCUGUUCGCCCAUGAAAGCGGUACGCGAGCUGGGUUCAGAACGUCGUGAGACAGUUCGGUCCAUAUCCGGUGUAGGCGUUAGAAUAUUGAGAGGAGCCUUCUUUAGUACGAGAGGACCGAGAAGGACAUACCUCUGGUGUACCAGUUAUCGUGCCAACGGUAAACGCUGGGUAGCUAUGUGUGGAGUGGAUAACCGCUGAAAGCAUCUAAGUGGGAAGCCCACCUCAAGAUAAGUA
rnacentral:rRNA from 1 species